GUGGACACUUUUCUGCGUAACCUAUUCCGUUCCGUUUCCGCUCCUCUUUGAUGCUUCUAAGAAACUUUUACUCUAUAAUGACUUUCAAAGAACAAUGCCCACUACAUGCUUUUUCAAUGUCUCUGUACUACUUAUCAAGCUCUCUCAUAGAUUGUAUGUAUAUAUAUAUAUAUAUAUAAGAUGUGAGAUUUUUCACUGAAUAUCUUUUUACUCCUUACAGAUUAUUAAAACCACAAACGCUGUUAGAAUCCGAAACAACAGCUUGAUUUAUCCUACCUCAAAGCUGGUCGCUGCAGGAAGAGUGUUGUUACCCAGAUCCUUUGUUCCUGCGAAGAUCAGAAGUUCAAGAAACGAGGCGACAUGAUGGGUGUUGAUCUUUUUUUUUUUUUUUUUGAUAAGUAUGAUGGGUGUUUGAUCUUCUUCUGGUUGAUGGAAAGUCAAUUAUGAUUCAAGCGUCAAUCAAGCUUUAUGAGCUUAGCCUCACUGAUGUGAGUAGAAACAAUCAAAGCUUCCGCUUUGCCUGUUCGAGCAUGAACUUAAUACUGAUGGAGCUAUUUUGGUUCUGCAGUUACAAUCAGUUGAGGCUAAUAUACAAACACCGACUUACCUGGUCGACUCUUCCUAAAUUCAACUUCUUGAACACAUUUCUACUUUGACAAGGAGAGUAGCGCAGGCAUCAGUUACUUUAAAGUGCUGAUGCAAGAUGGAGGUGUCAAGAAGAUCGAGUCAAUAACACUAUCGGAGCUGAAUGCUUAUGUUCUGAGUUCACACCCCCGAGACUGCAUAGUUUCAAUGCCCUGGGAAGCUUACUGAACUAAAUGGUCUCCGUUCAACCACCGAGAUGCCUACAUGGUUGAACUUUAGAUGAUGAUGUUGGACACUCUGCAAAGAAGGCCCUCCAUGGUUGAACUUUAGAGUCCGAGUGUCCAUUACACCAUUUUAGACUUUCACAAAUCACAGUUACUCUACUCUCCUAUUUUUUUAUUAAAAAAAAAAUUGUUGCAUCACUAAAAUCGAGUUCAAAUCUAUUGUGUGGUGUUUUGACUGGUUUUGGCUGUUUAAAAAAAUU